UAGGACCAAUCAGAACAGGUGCUGGCUAUAAACAAUGGGUGUGUCUAGUUCAGACCUACUGACUAUGAACCUUGAUGUGGAUAUUCAUUGUAUUAUUCUGUAAACUAUUCACAGAUAUUUCUGUUCACUUUUUUGGAUAUAUGUUUCAUAGAAAAGAAUUAAGAGACUGAUUCAUUCUUUAGCUGGAUAGCUUCAGACAGUUUCCGACUGGCUGGUGCCCAGUUUAUAUGAACUAUCAAUGUUUUGAGUGUAACGCCCAGUUGAGUCAGCCCAGCCAGAGCAGGGCUCACAGGACUGGUUUUAGGAUGUGCAUCCUCUCAGACCGGCUGGGGCUUUAACAGAGGCCCACGCCUUCAGAAGGUGACCUAAAGGACCGACUACUGGGCCACCCCCUUGGCCAGUUAUCACCUCUCCUGGAUCCAGACCAUUCAUUAAAGCGGCACAGUGACCACUGAGAUCCUGCCCACGAGAGAAAGGCACAGCUGACAGAGGGAGAGAGUCCAGCUAAAGGUGGCUUUCGCUGUUACGUGCAGUCAAAGGAGCCCAUCUAAUGAGGCACAGGACGCAGAAGGAAAGGGCUCACCAGCAAACUUGAUGGCUG